CCGUUCGAGAAUGAAAAUUAUAAAGCUUUGCUGGUUGAUCAACAAUGUAGUUAGAAAUCAACUUCUUGACAUUUGGUGGAAGCAAGUGCAUCUUGCGAUCGAGAGUUGGAACAGGAAGCAAGAACCUUUCCUUUACACAGAGGAAAGUGAAAGUUUCUUAUAAUCGAAAUGAUUGCAAUGUAAAGCUGCAGUUUUCUUCAUACAGUAGUUCAUAUCGGUUGGUCGAGUUCUGAAACCAACCAUCAUGUGCCCUCAGGUUCUUAAUAUUUUGGAGUUUCUACAGCAUGUUUCUGGGUUAAAACAAGAAUUAGUUGUGUUAUUAAGUUGCACUCUGUACAUACGGUUUUGAGAUAUGUUUUUCCUGUACUUUGUUUGUUAGUUUGUAUGUGUGUUUAAGAUAUCUAUUUUCUUUCUAUGUGGACUCAACAAGACUGAAUUGCAUAUGCUUCUUCUGGGUUUCUGCUCAUUCUUUUCUUGUUUGGAGUUAGGGCCGGAAAAAUAUAAAGAGUGACGAGGUUGAAGAUCCGUGAUGCACGACUUUUUAUUCAACGAACACUUCCACCAAGGCAUUGGCUUAAUUUUCUCAACCAAAAUGUGGUCAAGUUGGAAAUACAGAAGCUCCCAGUAUUCAAGUGUCAUUUUUUGGUGAAAACCUUGUGUAACUAUGAUGUACAGUGCGAAUUCAUUUUUACCCAGAAAGUUUGCAGCCCCAUUUCGAAGCACUUGGCAAAGCUAUGCUAAGCUCUUAAAAUCAAAUA